UCCUUGAACUCCUCCUCGUGCUUCAAAGCCCAGCUAUAAUUUCCCUAGCUCCUCCCAUGCAGGAAAAUGUUUCUCCCUCAUCUGUGUCUCCCCGAUGUUUUGCAAAGUUUUGUGAUUAUUUCUUUACGUCCCUUUCUCUCCCAGGUGGCUAUGUGUCACCCGCUAGUCAACAAAUCAAGGGCAAGAAUAUGGUCUCGUUCUCAGUUUAAACCCCAGCACGUAGUAACAGUCCCUGGCACACAACGGAUGCCCAAAAAUAUCGGUUGGAGAAGAUUUAAAUAGAAGUGAAUACCAGGGAGCCACUGUGAUACCUUGAAAGGAAUGAUGUGGCCAAAUCAGAAUUUUAGGAGUAUUAAUCUGUCAGCAUGAAAGAAGAUGGAUUAAAAUGAAGAAAGGGACUCGUGGCCAGGAGUCAAGAGGGGAGCCUAUUACUGUAAUGUGGACAUGGUUUACAGAGCGGGCAGAGGGAAUGGAGACAGGAAAACAAUUUCCUGAGCUAUCACAAGAGAAUGUGGAAGGGACUUGGUAACGAAUUAGCUAUAAAUGAGGGGGUGGGAUGGGGAGCUGGGAGCCCUCAAACACUGAGACCCCAGCCAACGGGAGGAAGGUGGUGCCAUGGAGAGAAAUGGGGGGGUGCAGUAGGCUGGGCAAGCAGUACCCAGCCUCUCUUUACAGUGAGCGACUGCAAUCACAACAAACAUUUCUGGGCCAAAAACAACAGCAACAAUCCUCCGAGUCCAAAAUAUCCAAGCCCAUCUCACUCCCCAACUCUGGACGGUUCUUUAUUUACUUUUUCCUAACAGCCAAUCAGAACCAUUGCUUCAUGGCAGGGGAGGCCGAAAUGAAGACAAGGCCAGCCCGGCGCCCCACCGGAAGGAGUUCUACAAGCUUAACCGACCAGCCUUCCUCUCGGAGGCCACCCGGGUGGCUGCUCGUGGGGCCUCCUUGUUCUCGUCACCCAAAGCCCUCUCCAGGACCUCUGGGAAUGCCUGCUCCAGCGCCGCAGAGCGAUGCAGCAGAAGACAUCGCGAUGCAGGUGACGCGGGUUCUCAGAGCUGUGUGGUCUCUGGAAAAAAUGUUAAGACUUUUCUGUGCCUGGGCUCCUUCGGCUGGGGACGACAGCUGGACCAGGUGAUUCCUUAGCCCUCUCGCAGGUCCCUUUUUCUCUUAUUCCAAAUUCCAACAGGCAUCGCGUGACCGCUCGGGCUACCCAGGUCCAAGGCUUCAGAUUCACGUACUGCCUGCCAAGGGGACGCGGGCUGCGUGGCGGGGGUCACAGAGGGGGCAGGGAAGACGCCAGCACGCGCAGUCCGCGGGCGGGGGCGGCUGCUCGGGGCCCCCGGACCCACCAGUUCCAGAUGCUAAGUGGGCCUGAGAACAACCUGAAAGCCUCUUCCCAGUUUAGGGCUGAUGUUUCACAGAA